UCAAUGUUUGCUCUUAACUUCCUGAUUGUAUGUUCUUGAUGUACUGGCCUCAGGGCACACCACAAAGAAGGAAAGAGAUCGCCAGGGGUCUUAAUGACUAUAAGGAUAGAUGGAACAGAGCUGGCCAACAGGAACUGUACAUCCCCCGUGGGGUCUCAUUGAGGCUCUGAGCAGCAGGGUAGCAAUGGGGACAUUGGCCCUGACAUCCAUAGGAAGAGAGGGAAAUGGGGUCUCCCAGGGAGCCUUUGUCACUGCCAGUCCAAACCCCUUUCUAAGCACCAGAAGCAGCAAGAGGAAGAGAGGUGGACACAAAGGUCCUUCUAGGGGUCACAGAAUACCUUGUUGACCUUCUCCUUGCCAUAGCCUGCUCAAUGAGUGUGUCGGGGUGCCAUUACAAAAAGGUCAAAAUCUACCGCACCUACACCAACAGCCUUCAGCAGUGUCACAGAGAUAGAUGGUGACGUCCCGGAGAGCCUCAGGGUCUCUCAUGAUUCUCAGGUAGUAGUUGUGAGAGCUCACUGAUGCCAGAGCCAUAGGAGGGCGGGAAAGAUCUGGCUUAUCCUCCAGGACUUGGCCGGAAAGUGGUACUUAGGAUGGUACCCAGGCAGGUAAAGCGAGAUCGGAGUUCCUGCUGGCACCUCGGAGGGCAUGAGUGGUGGUGACUGGGAGGAGAUCAGCUAUGUGACGAGCCCAGUGGGUCCUGGGAGGCCCCCGCAAGGGCACAGUGACUUUGUGUUCUCUGCAAACAUUCUGUACACAUAGACAUCACAAUAAGUGUUGCCUGCCAUUCCUGUGGGGAGAGCAGUGGGAGAGACAACACAAAGAGCAGAGCUCUGAGGAAGGGGCGGGAGGGGCGGAAGGGGCGGAGCCACAGUGCUUCACAGGACGAAGUCUCAGAUCUGUCUGGAAAGGUGAAAUGUGUGAGAAAGCCAGUCCAGGAAAAUUCUCACAAGCAUAUGAGAAAUCAUGAGCUAGAGAGUGGCUGGGAUCGGGACAAGAUAAAUUUAUACCCAGCUUCCCACAUUCCAGUGACAAAUUUGCUCUCUGGGCGUUGUUGCCUCUGACCUCCUGGUUACCGAGGGGAUGACAUUAAAGUGGAGAAAACGGCGUAUUCUGUUCUAUAAAUUCAGACAGAGAUGACGCACGCUGCCCACCAAGUAUACCUAAGAAAUCGUGGGGAAAUGUCAAGCAUUUUAAGAGAGAGCCGCUGUAAAUUCCGAAGCUUGCGACUUGAGCGAUCUCUGCAGAGGAGAAAGGUCCCUUUGUUCACGCUCAGCUGACACUCAGCAUGUGGAAUAGUAUGAGCUAGAGGGGUCACACGAAAGCUGCAGGGAAAGAAAGAAAGCGGGGAUGUGACAACCCAGGAGCUAGAGGGAUGGAGCAAGCAUUUCUGGGAUGGAGGAGGCCUGGUUUCUGGAGAUCCCAAAGGCAGGUUCCUUUCCUAGUCCUUCCUUCCCAGUGGUACGGUUUCCUACAAUGUUUCUCGGCGCGUAUGUACUGGUUCAGAACCAGGAAAAACAGUGUCACAUGCGGAGCCACGGAGGAAAAGACGUUGAUGCCCAGAGUGAGGACACUGCUCCUCCAAACCACACUGCUGAGAAAUCCUACUGAAUAGUCACCAUGGGACAUGUGACCUUGUCUUAGCAUCGCCUCAGUGGGAAGACUUGGUAGUUCAGGAAACAAGGGCAGCAUACACAAUGUGAAGUCCUCCUGUUGUGGGUCCAGAUUUCAAGGCCACACCGAAGCCAGGCAAUACCAUAUGGCUUCCAGGACUGUAAAGGCAUCUGGAACCCAGAGUCCAAACAAGACAUGGAUCAUCCCUGAGACUUACAUCCAUUGACUUGGAAAAUAUGUGGUCACUACUUGCGAGAUGAUUUCAAUGGGCUGAUAUCUUACCUGUCUGUUUACCUCAUACUGGUGGAUCGUAAGCUCAAAGGCUCACCUGUGUGGGCCUGCCCAGUGCUGGAACUAUGGGCACACGCUUCCACACUUGACAUUUCAACUGGGGUUCAAGGUAUCAAACUUAUUAUAACCUGUGCCACGUGCUUUCAUGGGUAAGUACUUCACCCGCUGAGCUGGCUAUCCUCCAAGUCCCCUGCACUUUUACUGUCUUAAAAUAUCACAAGCAGAACUCAUGCAAUGGUGUGUCAAGCUGUAGGUGAGGUGUCUUUUCUAGCAGGGCUCUAGUGGUGGGAAAAGACGGGUAUGUCCUGUGUGGUUUGGUGGAGGUCCCCAUUGUCACAGCCUUUGAAGAAUACCUGACCACGUGACCAUUGUGAGACCAAAUAGCUCAUAUACAAUUAAAGUCAAUUAAACAUGAUUGAUCUGUGCAGCUAGGAAGUAACUAAGCACCAAGAACGACUUGACUCGGGCUUAAAUUUAGAUCUUGCGAGUGGAAGUGGGCCAAUGGGAAGGCUGCUGCAGAAACGGAGGAGGUGGAACAAAGCCGCCCCAGGACUCUGCGGCAUCCAUAGCUAAGCAGUGUGAGCGAUUGGGACACCAAGUAAAUGAAAUUGACGGGUCUUAACAACGAAAUCGAAGUCUGAAUAGGACAACAAAUCAAAGCCCGAUGUCAUGCUGCUGAAAUUCCACACCUCAGACACCCAGGACCCUCAUUGUUUGGGGAAAAGAAAGCAGCAACAAAAACAAAAGCAGCCAUUCUCUACUCCUAACGUCAUCUUUCCUGAGGCGGGCUGUUGUGUCCGCAUCAGAUUAUCACGCAUUCGGGAGAUAGAAUUGCUCUGAAGGUAAAGCCGUGUGAUGAUUCACAGGAACCUCGUGUCUCCGGUGGGGCCGAUUGUGAAUUAGAUAUGUAUCCACCCCCCUUUCACCUUGAAUAACGGAGCCUUCUAUUCCCCCACUUGCCUUUUAGGAACAGGGAAAAUAAAGAGUUCAUCUUCUCUCUCUCCUUCCAUUGUACCUUGGAGCGGUGUGUGUGUGUGUGUGUGUGUGUGUGUGUGUGUGUGUGUGUGCGCGCACUUCCCACAUGUAUGCAACUAUGCUCACCAGUGCUGUGAAAGCUAGGAACUGGCAUCUUUCUCAAUUGUUCUCCACCCGUUCUUUGAGAUAGGCUGUCUCAACAAACUUAGAGUUUUCCCUUUCAGGAAUCUAGACUGGCUAGUGAAUCUCAGAGAUGUGUCUGCACAAGCUCCCCACAGCGCCGAGGUUACAGGUUUGCACUGCCACACCCAGUCCAGCAUCUGAACUCAGCUCUUCCUCCUUGAGCUACAGAUACUUUAGUUACCGAGCUCUCUCCCCGGCCCCCACAAUGCUUGAGAUUUUAUUUUCACAAGCUCAUAGGUGGGAGAGUUGGAGUCCGUUCCCAGAGGAAACGGAGCCUGCACUUCUCAGAGCAGUGUUGUGAAUACAGCCUGCUUCCUCCUCUCUGUUUAUAGUGUGAUGGAGAAAGAAAAUGGGAAGGCUUACUCAACAAAAGGGAUGAGGCUCUUGAAUUUAUUUAUAUGCAUAUAUGUAUAUAUGUAUGUAUGUAUAGAUACAGAGCUCAUGUAUAUUUCAUAUUUCUCUAUCUCAUAUAUCCCAUUGAGAUUGCAAUCAUAGUAGAAGGAAUAGGCCUGCAGCACAGAACACUCUGGAGAAACUGAGGGCAACUGGUCACCCAUUUUCCAGGCCUCAAGUAGAUAGGAUGCCAGGACAUCAGUCACAGAGCUCAUCUGUGGGACUUGGGAACUAUCAAGGUUACAAGUGCCAGCAGCCCAGGCACAUACCUGCCUCCCAGCAGGGCCAUGGAAUUGGGUGGUGAGGUAAGACUUGUGGAGCAGAGUCUCCAGCAUGAUUUGCAAUGGUGUAGAAGGGGAGCUGCCUGGUUCUAGACUUUUAUCCAACGGGAGCACUGCUUAGUGUAGGAGGAGCCAAGAGAGCAAGGAUGAAGCAUGAGUGUGUGAAGUGUGAGUGUGUGAAGCGUGUGUGAAGCGUGAGUGUGUGAAGCGUGAGUGUGUGAAGCAUGAGUGUGUGAAGCGUGUGUGAAGUGUGAGUGUGUGAAGUGUGUGUGAAGUGUGAGUGUGUGAAGCAUGAGUGUGUGAAGUGUGAGUGUGUGAAGCGUGAGUGUGUGAAGUGUGUGUGAAGCGUGUGUGAAGCGUGAGUGUGAGAAGCGUGAGUGUGUGAAGCGUGAGUGUGUGAAGUAUGAGUGUGUGAAGCGUGAGUGUGUGAAGUGUGUGAAGCAUGAGUGUGUGAAGCGUGAGUGUGUGAAGCGUGAGUGUGAGAAGCGUGAGUGUGUGAAGUGUGAGUGUGUGAAGUGUGUGUGAAGCGUGAGUGUGUGAAGCGUGAGUGUGAGAAGCGUGAGUGUGUGAAGUGUGAGUGUGUGAAGCGUGAGUGUGUGAAGUGUGUGAAGCGUGAGUGUGUGAAGCGUGAGUGUGAGAAGCGUGAGUGUGUGAAGCGUGAGUGUGUGAAGUGUGAGUGUGUGAAGUGUGAGUGUGUGAAGUGUGUGAAGCAUGAGUGUGUGAAGCGUGAGUGUGUGAAGCGUGAGUGUGUGAAGUGUGUGAAGCAUGAGUGUGUGAAGCGUGAGUGUGUGAAGCGUGAGUGUGAGAAGCGUGAGUGUGUGAAGUGUGAGUGUGAGAAGCGUGAGUGUGUGAAGUGUGUGAAGCGUGAGUGUGUGAAGCGUGAGUGUGUGAAGCGUGAGUGUGUGAAGUGUGAGUGUGUGAAGCGUGAGUGUGUGAAGUGUGUGUGAAGCGUGAGUGUGUGAAGCGUGAGUGUGUGAAGUGUGUGUGAAGUGUGAGUGUGUGAAGUGUGAGUGUGUGAAGUGUGUGUGAAGCGUGAGUGUGUGAAGUGUGUGUGAAGCGUGAGUGUGUGAAGCGUGAGUGUGUGAAGCGUGAGUGUGUGAAGUGUGUGUGAAGCGUGAGUGUGUGAAGCGUGAGUGUGUGAAGUGUGAGUGUGAGAAGCAGCAGUGUGAGAAGCAGGAGUAUGUGAGACUUGAGCGUGUGAAGACACUCAGCAGCUAGUGCCAGCCACCUCCUGAGGAAUGGCUCGGGGCUACCAGAAUACAAGGCACCUCCAGUCUUGGAUCCUGGAUGAGCUUCUACAGCACUGCAGAUACUUGGGCCAUCUCCUCACUCUACCCUCUGACCAUCUGUCAAUCCAUCUGUCCAUCUGUCUCUCAUUCUCUCUCCUCCCUUCCUUUUUCUCUCUUCUCAUGCUCAGACAUACACAGUUCUGACUCAUGGACCUUGUUCUAACAGAGCACUGGGAGCAGAGGACUUUCCUUCUACUGCUACAUUUCCCCAGGAGCAGGGAUUGACCCUGGGCACAUCAUGCCUGGAGCCUCCUCACCUGCAUGGUAGACACAAACAGAGGAAACCAACGUGUGAGGGACAGAUGAUCAGAUGUGCGGUCUAAGCAGCUGUUUUUAUCCACUGGGAUUUCUUCCCAUGCUGAUUUAUUCAGAGUUCUAUUCGCCUGCCAGUGCCAUUUAUUUAUAGAUAACAUUUUUCUGCAGUGAUGGUUAAGGACCAGGAUAAGUGAUUAUGAAGUUGCGUUUUCUUCCUGGAAUAAUAGAAACGCAGUUCUUUGUCCUUUGUUGCAAUCCCAUGUUUCUCUGUAGUCAUUCUCAAUGAGCACCAUUCAUUAACAUAUACAUUUAAACUAAUAUAGACUCACGGGAGUGGCAGGAAGUACAACAAAUCAAGCAAUAUUAUCCUAUUUCAUAGAAGAAAAAAGCCACUUGGAGACAAGGCAGGCUUACCAACAGGUUUGGAGGAAGAAUGUUGGGUGGGGACAUUGAAUUCUUGUAUCACAUACUGGAUAUCACCAAAAUUUUCACUCUUGACUCUGGGUGACCCUGUGGCUGGUCUCACUCUCUGGAAACUUUAAGAGGGCUAAGUUGGAGUCUUCAUUGCUCAAAGCAUCUUCCUUAGGUGCUAAAGUACGGUGUUCUAGGGCCACUGUGUCAUACUGUACCACAGACUACAAGACUGCAAGCCCAUCUCUGCUCUGAAGAAUCCGGAGAGUUCAAAGAGGUCAAAUGUUUAAUUGAAAUGGAAUAUUCAAGCUAAAUUGCUCAUGCACUACUUCAAUAUUAUUGAAGUCCUAAUAAAUACAUUAAAAGACUGUUAGCGAAAGUGCUUCCUGCUGAAGAAUGGUCCCGUGAAGGGCAUCAUUAGCCCACUCUGUAAUAUACAGGGAAUGUUGUUUCAACCUAAUUAAACGCCGUGCAUUUUUGAUGGCACUUAACAAUAUGUGGUUAAUUACUAUAUGCAGGGUUUGUUCUAUAGCAUUAAUUAUGAUGAACUCAUUGGCUUUCAGAAGGAUGAGGGUACAGUGACUUGGGAGGUACCACACAUCCUGUGGUUUAUCCAGACGAAGAUUUAAGUGGAUCAACUCCAGAGCUAUGAGAAGUGAUUUUUUUUUUCAGACCCGAAUUGAAAAAAAAAUGUGAGUUAUGGAAAAAUCGCUGCAGGUUAGAUGUCUUUCUGGAAUUGGCCUAGGAAUUGUGGUUGUAUAAAUCACUGUGAGAAACACGAAGGCGAAACUGAUACGGGGGCUGGGUUGCUGGGUUGACGGAAGGAGUUUCUAAUCCUGAAAAUGAGAGCCCUCAUGGAUUGUUUUCUCUAUGUAUCUUCUGACCUCUUCUGCAGUGGCUAAGAUUUGGGCCAAUCAAUGAGGUCCUGGAGUCCAGCUCAAGUCAGGUCUUCGAGGAGUCAGAACACUUGUGUAUUCUGACUUGGAACACCCCAAGGUGAGUAGGUUCCUGGCACUAACAGGACAUGGAUAGAGGAGUGGAAUGGUAAGGUCACCCUAAAAUUAAUUUCAGUGGUGGUUGCAAAACUCAUACAUGGCUUAUGUGGUGCUGGGAUUGAGCCUAGGGUCUUCUGCAUUCUAGUAAAGCACAAUAUCAAUUGGAGUAUGUGGUAGCCUUCUGGCCUGUAGUAUUCCUAAAGGGCAAGAACUUAGGAUAGAAGAAGAGGUCUCUCAAAGUCAAAGCUCAAAUGCAUCAAGGUCACUGUCUGGAGGUUCUACCUCUGGCAGAGGCUGGUGUUGGAGCAGCAGCUGAUCCCAAACAGAACUGUAGCACUGGCUGGAGAGGAACCACAUAGACACCCCCUUGUAUCUCACAGCUCUUCUCUCCUUCUCCUAAGUCUUCUCCCGAAGCUUAGACAGAAAACUUAUCCAGUCCUGCUGGUGAAGUAUGAAGGUCAGGGAGGGCCAUAUAGCGAUUGCUAGGAAAAUGUGGCCAGGGUCAAGGGUCUGGGAGAGGCAGGGGGAGGCCAAGUCAAUGGUGUCUUAUGCAGGGGAGGUGACAGAGGUACCUAUCAUUGCCGAGUACAGAGGAGUAAGAUGAUUAAGGUGGCACAUGGGGAGACACCCUGUGUCUAGGGAGAUUUGCCCAAACAUUCAACUCCUCCAUCCUUACGUUGGCGGAAAUCAUAGUUUUCACGUUACAUAAUCUAUAUUAUUUGAAGAGUGAAUGAAGGGGAGCAGGGCAUGGGUAGGGCAGGAUGGAUUUUAUGCAGGUAUGUAUGUAAGCUGGCAGUUUUAAGAUCUCACGUUUAAUCCAUCUGAAUAGAUCUCCCUCUGUUCCUAGUUUCUUUGAUAGUUAUAUAAUCUUGACAGGCCUCUUAACCUCCGGCAGUUUGAGUUUUCAUCUUUAGGAAGGGGGCCUCCUGUUUUUGCCUCCCAUCUUGUUGAUAAAAAUGCUGGGAUUACAGGCACACACCUACCAUGUCUAGCCUUUAUGUCUGUUCUAGGGGUCUUAACUCUGGUCCUUGAGUUUGUGGAACAAGCUUUACCUACUGUGUAUAUUCCCAGUCCCCCUUCUCAGCAUUGUGGGGGAAAUGUAUCAAUUAAUGCCAUGGACAGGUGGUGGCCUAAGAUGUUAAGAUAAAGCUACAGGCACAUUGAGGUUUAGGGCUUCCACUUCAGGUCUGAGUGAGUCCUGUGGAGGCCCCCUCCAUGGGAGGGCACAUUAUAGCCAUUGCUCAGCCCUAUGUGAGAACACUGUAGACAUUGAACUUCAUGGCUUUUGUUGUGUGUUGGCAAAGGAGGCUUAAGGAAAACUCUGAUACACACAAAGUUUCCUACAUUUUACACUUUAAAUCCACAGGUGAUCUUUUACUAAAUGUAUAAUUUGGUCUCUCUCUCUUUCUUUCUUUCUUUCUUUCUUUCUUUCUUUCUUUCUUUCUUUCUUUCUUUCCUUCUUUCUUUCUUUCCUUCCUUCCUUCUUUCUUUCUUUCUUUCUUUCUUUCUUUCUCUCUCUCUCUCUCUCCCUCUCUCUCUUUCUUUCUUUCUUUCUUUCUUUCUUUCUUUCUUUCUUUCCUUCUUUCUUUCUUUCCUUCCUUCCUUCCUUCUUUCUUUCUUUCUUUCUUUUUCUUUCUUUCUUUCUUUCUCUCUCUCUCUCUCUCCCUCUCUCUCUUUCUUUCUUUCUUUCUUUCUUCCUUCCGUUUUGGCUGCAAAAUAGCAAUUCACAAUCUAGUAAUUCUUGGCGGAAUAAGAACUUGUCCACAUGCAGUAACACUGCAGCAGUCAGUAUGGGAUUUUCCCUUCUAAGCACAAAUUACUAUACUCCACACAGGUGCCAACAGUCCAUAAUUGUUAUAGCUCAUGUCUUCUCAGCAGAAGCACAGAAGUUCCAUGUAGAUGUGAAGACAUGUGGCUUCCUACCAAUGGUAACAGGGCAGGAGGUCCCAUGACAGCUGCUCCUUAUAUCUAGGGUAUGGGCUGAGAGAUACUUAAAUGGUCUUCAUGAACGGCAGGGUAUAUUGUGGAUAUACACCCUAGCUAAGUCUCCCUGAGCUCAAGGACAUCCCAUCCCAUGGCCACAUGUGCAUAACAUUAAUCUAUGUAUCACUUUCCCUUUACAAAAGUUUCUAACAACUGGAGGACCAUCGACAAGUUGUUUAUAACUGUCUCUGACCCCAUCCAUCGAGCAGGUUAUAUAUUAAAGUCAAAUCUUCCCAAGCUUCGUGUUUUCACAUAAGAAAUACAGGUAAGACUCUGAGAGACUGCCACACGGAAUGGAAUCUUUUAAGUAGGUAGUGUCUUUCAGCAGCACCUGUGAGGGAGGGUUUAUUGUAUACACCAUUUGGUUUCGAAAAGACCUCACAGACUCCACAGAAAAUCUAAGAAUCAAUAAACACUUUCAUCAAAGCAGUAGAAUACCCCCAAACAAAAACAGAACCAGAAAAUCAGUAACAUUUCUGUAUUCCAGUAUGAAUGUGCUAAGAAAGAAGGUGAGGGACCAUUUCAGUCCCAGUAAUGACAAAAAUACCCCAGAAUAAAUAUAACCAAGGGGGUGAAGGACAUCAUUGGUGAAAAUUAAUACUGAAGAAAGAAACUAAAGAAGCCACUAGAAGCUGAUGAGACUUCCCGUGCUCCUACAUGAGCUGAAUUAACACUGUGAUGUUGGCUGUAGGACCAAAAUCUACUGACAAUGUAAUCUUUAAAAGUCCAAAGGAGUUCUUCACAGAAAUAGGCAAAACAUCCUCGAACUCACAUGCAAGCACAAAAUCAGACUUGUAGAGCAGCUGAACGGAGCCGAGGACCCACAGAUGAUUCUAUGCAAACACACCACCUGAAGCUUGGCGAAGAUGAUCAAAUGUCCACUGGAGAAAAGACAGCCUCAUUGAAGUGUGAACCUCGUCCCAUGUUUUUAAUCACUAGUUUUCUUAAGGUUUCCAGACACCAGGUCAAAUAAGGAAAACUCGAAUCCAUGAGGUUUCCUGUAAGCCAAGAUCAGAGGUUGUGAAGCUGAAGGUAGGAAAGGGACACAUGGGAAAGGUUUGAGCACAGGCAGUCCUAAGGAAAACAUGCAUCAACUUGAAGUGACAGCUUGCCUGGCCAUGGCUGUGAUUAGCAAGUUUAGUAUACACAGAUUAGGAAAGAUGGUUAGAGCUUGGAGCAGAAGGAGCCUAGGGAACUUGGAGUGACAUAGUGCUGCAAUGAACACAGAAGAUGUUGUGGUAAAAAUUAAAAAAAAAUGGCGGAACUGAUUCCCAUGUGUACUCUGGCAGUCGCUCUCUCUUGCUAGUUUUGGCUCUAGUCGGCCAUUAGAACUAGUGCUAAUUUAUCUCAGUGACUUCCCCUGCCCCCAUCUGCUUUCUGACCCUCUAUCCUCGAGCCAUUCCAACAUGGCAUCCUGUCAGGCUGCCCUGCCCUCACUCACAGCUCUUUUGACUGGUUUCCACCACUCCAGGCGUACACAUCCCAAUUCCAUGCUGGGCCCAGUGCGUCUGGCCACCAUACACUCUCUUGACCUCAUUAAGUUGCCACAUGAAAGAACACAUCACAUAAUAUCCUGUGAUCCAAUUGAUAAGAUAUAGCUUGCCCAUCUAGACAACACAAAAUCCUAUACACAUCCUUCCCUUAAGAAUAGUUUUAACAAUCUGCAAAUGCGCAGAGAGGAAUCUUAGUAUCUGCCGCCAUGUUCUUUCGGCUGCCUCCUCCUCACUCCUGCCUCCUCUGCCCUCUAAAACUUUUCUCCUGCCCAUCUGUCCUUCUAGUCCAAUGACAGGCCUCGUUUUAUCCUGUACCCGCCUUCACCCGUAAAAUGACAUCAACCUACAAGAAGAUGCUUGGAUCAGAGUCACGCACACCAAAACACAUCUCUAGCAUUAGGGAAGACCUUUCCAAAGCAAGAGUGGCAUGGCUGUAACAGGAAACCAACCAGGGUGAAGGUGAGCUUAAACUUUAUAGGAAAGAAGGAACAGUUCCACAUGAACAUAAAGUUCAGAAUAAAAGGACUUGGGUCUAGCCAAGAGCAUGCUGAUCACACCUCACGACCAAUACUGUCUGGGAGCUGGUACCAAGCCCUGGGAAUGCCUAUAAAGAGGCUCUGACGAGCUGUGCACCUAUGGUCUCUGACUAUGAAGUUGGAGGACCCUGCUUUGAGUCAGGGUUCUGGUAAGGCCUCACAUGGGCUACAGACAUACCAGGUGACUUGCGCUCUUGGCUUCUGUUGGUACAGGUAGACUUAGUAUUGACACACCACUUUUCAAGACUUCAUGAAAUAAGAGAUGCACACUCUGUUUAGGACAGAUUUAACUUUUAAGUGAUAACACACUUCCCUACUAGGCAAGCAGUUGGUAGUUCCAUGGGGAGCAAAGGAAGGACCCUUCCUCUUCCACACACUACCCUCAGGCUUCUAAAUACAAGAGCCCGAGCACAGAAGACAGGCUGAGGACCUGGCCCUCUACAGCUCCAGGACUGUGUACUUUUAUGUUAACAAAGUUUCACUUAGAAGCAGGUAGGCAGUGCACUGGCAGGCUUGGGGACAGUCUUCUCUGGGAUGCUGGAGCUUCAGAGGUCUUGUGGGACUCUGGCCAUGUUAACAAGGAGACUAUGUUCUGAUGUAGUCAUCCAGGAGGACCUGACUACCCAUUUUUGCUUUGUCCUAGAGAUGUUUCUAACUCAGUGUCUGGACCCAAGAACUUCUGUGAAGUCCCUUUUAUGCCAGGGCCCUCCUAUGUCCUCUCCUUCAAACAAACCCAUGGCUCUGUACUUUGACCUUCCACAUCCUAACCCAAGCUCCUCAAAACCACUCUGGUCUCUGCCCUCUCCCUUUUCACCUACCACACUGUUUUCCUCAGUAUUUAAAACCAAGACCUUGAGCCCAUGAGUUUUUUCAGAAACCAAACAAAAUACAAACUCUGUUUGGGUGCAGGUGAGCUGGCUGGCUGUGUUUGCUGUGUCCAGGCAGAUAGCCCAAGGUUUUCCCCCAGGGAGUGGAAACCCUGGUAACUUGUAGCUUGUGCCCAACCCCAGACACUUGACAGCCUUGGGAAUCAUGAAGCAGACCUAUGAACACCAUAUCCCAUUCUCAUUAUACUGCUUACCACAAGGUACCCACCCAAUGUUUGGGUAUCAUGAUGGCCUGAUACCGCUGUUGUUUCCUAUGGGAGAACAAUGAUAAAAGAGCUUUGCCUAGGCCAAAGGAGUUUUGUUUUGUUACUAAAGAUAAUUAAGAAGAGGACAUACAACUAUAUGCAUGUAUAUACAUACAUACAUACACACAAUAUAUAUACUCAUAUACUUGUAUGUAUAGUAUUUGAUAUCAAGUACGAAAUGUUGUUGAAGAUACUAUAUAUUUCAGACACAGAACUUUGAGAAUUAGAGAUGAAUCUAACCUGAAAAUAUACCCCCCAAGAAGAAUAAUUUUUAUAGUACCAUAAGGUACUAUCUAAGCUUCCAAAGGAAGGAAGCAACAGAGAGUCCUAUAAUAUCUGUGAACAACAUGACUAGCCUACCAAGAUAUCCUUAAACCUACAACUCUGAGAUCCGUAUCUUCUCAGUAACCAAUGGAUGUCUGAUUGGACUUAAGACCCGUUCACCAGGAGGCAAUCAUGACUGAUCCUGGAAACCUAUCCAACUCUCCAAGACUGGUGAGGUCAUAGAUUUUAGAGGGAAACCUACCACUACCACUGCAAGCCAGCAUAAUUCCUAACUAAAUUCUAAAUAUGUACUUUUGAUACCCACAUAUGCCUUCAUCUCUCACCCCUCAUCAAAGAAGCUUUUCUUUGCAUCAGUUAGAGAUCAAAACAGAAAAUGACACCUGGUCAAAACCCAGAGAACAACUGUUCAUGCGACUCCAAGACCCAGUGGGUAGAUCUACAGCACAGAUCCUUCAAUCAAGCCUCAAGGAGCAUGUCAGGAAAGAAGGUAGAUUGUAAGAGACAGAAGACCAAAGCCUGCUAUGUGAUAGUUCCUCCUGGAAAUGAUGGUGGGUGAAGCUAUACUGUAUGGUUCCUCAACAAUAUGGCUGCCUCAGCAAGACAUGGACGGUGACAAUAACAAGACAUAGUCUCCUGCCCAGGGAUAUUUCAUGGGUCCCACUCUAGACAAAGAACUACAGACAAUUAAGGACUGCAGAGGGGGAAUUCGUUAUCAUCAGGGAUAAUCCCCCUACUUGGCUAUCUGAUUUCAAAUGUUCAUUCCUGAAGUCAUGCAUAUACAAGCAACAUAAACACACCAGGCUACAUUUAUAUAGGCAUGCAUUUAUACACAUGGGACCAGUUAAAAGAAAAGGAGCCGUACAUUCAAGGGGUUAUAGGGGAGCACAAGGAAGGGAUUGGGUGGG